UUCUGGGGUAGUAUUUAUUAGAUGGAAACCAACCCCUUCGGGGUGAUGUGGUGAUUCAUAAUAAGCUUGCAGAUCGCCGGUGGCGAUGGAUCAUUCAAGUUUCUGCCCUAUCAGCUUUGGACGGUAUGGUAUGGGCCUACCGUGGCUUUAACGGGUAACGGGGAAUUAGGGUUCGAUUCCGGAGAGGGGGCCUGAGAGAUGGCCACCACAUCCAAGGAAGGCAGCAGGCGCGUAAAUUACCCAAUCUUGACACAAGGAGGUAGUGACAAUAAAUAACAAUGCCGGGCCUUUAUAGGUCUGGCAAUUGGAAUGAGAACAAUUUAAACCCCUUAUCGAGGACCAAUUGGAGGGCAAGUCUGGUGCCAGCAGCCGCGGUAAUUCCAGCUCCAAUAGCGUAUAUUAAAGUUGUUGCGGUUAAAAAGCUCGUAGUCGUAUUUCGGGCGUGCCCGCUGGUCCGUUCUUCGAGAAUGUGUAUCGGUGCGGCACGUCUUGUUGCACGAAACGCGCUUCUGGGCUUCACUGCUCGGGACGUGGGUCGUGCGUUGUUACUUUGAGUAAAUUAGAGUGUUUAAAGCA
rnacentral:rRNA from 1 species